rnacentral:rRNA from 1 species
GGAAAGGCGCGCGAUACAGGGUGACAGCCCCGUACACAAAAAUGCACAUGCUGUGAGCUCGAUGAGUAGGGCGGGACACGUGGUAUCCUGUCUGAAUAUGGGGGGACCAUCCUCCAAGGCUAAAUACUCCUGACUGACCGAUAGUGAACCAGUACCGUGAGGGAAAGGCGAAAAGAACCCCGGCGAGGGGAGUGAAAAAGAACCUGAAACCGUGUACGUACAAGCAGUGGGAGCACGCUUAGGCGUGUGACUGCGUACCUUUUGUAUAAUGGGUCAGCGACUUAUAUUCUGUAGCAAGGUUAACCGAAUAGGGGAGCCGAAGGGAAACCGAGUCUUAACUGGGCGUUAAGUUGCAGGGUAUAGACCCGAAACCCGGUGAUCUAGCCAUGGGCAGGUUGAAGGUUGGGUAACACUAACUGGAGGACCGAACCGACUAAUGUUGAAAAAUUAGCGGAUGACUUGUGGCUGGGGGUGAAAGGCCAAUCAAACCGGGAGAUAGCUGGUUCUCCCCGAAAGCUAUUUAGGUAGCGCCUCGUGAAUUCAUCUCCGGGGGUAGAGCACUGUUUCGGCAAGGGGGUCAUCCCGACUUACCAACCCGAUGCAAACUGCGAAUACCGGAGAAUGUUAUCACGGGAGACACACGGCGGGUGCUAACGUCCGUCGUGAAGAGGGAAACAACCCAGACCGCCAGCUAAGGUCCCAAAGUCAUGGUUAAGUGGGAAACGAUGUGGGAAGGCCCAGACAGCCAGGAUGUUGGCUUAGAAGCAGCCAUCAUUUAAAGAAAGCGUAAUAGCUCACUGGUCGAGUCGGCCUGCGCGGAAGAUGUAACGGGGCUAAACCAUGCACCGAAGCUGCGGCAGCGACGCUUAUGCGUUGUUGGGUAGGGGAGCGUUCUGUAAGCCUGUGAAGGUGUGCUGUGAGGCAUGCUGGAGGUAUCAGAAGUGCGAAUGCUGACAUA